rnacentral:lncRNA from 1 species
CCCAAAGCCCUCCCUCCUCCUCUUCCCCCACCCUGCAAGCCCCAGGCUUGAAACUUGAUUUAAAAAAAAAAUACAAGAUUGAAUUUCAGUUUGCAGGAUUAGGGAGACGACUUUUAGGGGCUGCUUGUUGGAAAAAAAGCAAAGCAAAGCAGCUGGGAGGGAUUAGGCUGAGCUGGCGUCUGCACUUUCAACUGAUUCAAUUUUGCUCCACAAGACAUUGUAUCUGAGCCUUUCUGGAGACUAUUCAAAGCAAAUCAUUUUCAUUUUACCAUUUGGAGGUGCUUUUCCUGUUAGUGAUCCCUAUAUAGCACCGGAUUUGUGCAGCAGCCCACAGACUGCGUCCCAAGCAGAGCAGAAUAGGUACCUUAGGAAAUCCUGGGUUAUGAUAGACUCUUGGAAUUCAGCUUAAUACCACCACCAGGCUGCGGAAGAGACAGCAUGCAGACAUAGAGAUAAUUCACAGCUUGGGUUCUUUUCAAAGUCGCGUGCCCACUGCCAAGAGGAUCAGCCCCAUGGAAUCCCACUUGUUCAAUCCUGCUGCUGUGUGCCUACCAGGACACACUCAGGGGCUGCUGAGCCAG